rnacentral:rRNA from 1 species
UAGCUACAGGCUUAACACAUGCAAGUCGAGGGGCAGCAUGGUCUUAGCUUGCUAAGGCCGAUGGCGACCGGCGCACGGGUGAGUAACGCGUAUCCAACCUGCCGUCUACUCUUGGACAGCCUUCUGAAAGGAAGAUUAAUACAAGAUGGCAUCAUGAGUCCGCAUGUUCACAUGAUUAAAGGUAUUCCGGUAGACGAUGGGGAUGCGUUCCAUUAGAUAGUAGGCGGGGUAACGGCCCACCUAGUCUUCGAUGGAUAGGGGUUCUGAGAGGAAGGUCCCCCACAUUGGAACUGAGACACGGUCCAAACUCCUACGGGAGGCAGCAGUGAGGAAUAUUGGUCAAUGGGCGAGAGCCUGAACCAGCCAAGUAGCGUGAAGGAUGACUGCCCUAUGGGUUGUAAACUUCUUUUAUAAAGGAAUAAAGUCGGGUAUGUAUACCCGUUUGCAUGUACUUUAUGAAUAAGGAUCGGCUAACUCCGUGCCAGCAGCCGCGGUAAUACGGAGGAUCCGAGCGUUAUCCGGAUUUAUUGGGUUUAAAGGGAGCGUAGAUGGAUGUUUAAGUCAGUUGUGAAAGUUUGCGGCUCAACCGUAAAAUUGCAGUUGAUACUGGAUAUCUUGAGUGCAGUUGAGGCAGGCGGAAUUCGUGGUGUAGCGGUGAAAUGCUUAGAUAUCACGAAGAACUCCGAUUGCGAAGGCAGCCUGCUAAGCUGCAACUGACAUUGAGGCUCGAAAGUGUGGGUAUCAAACAGGAUUAGAUACCCUGGUAGUCCACACGGUAAACGAUGAAUACUCGCUGUUUGCGAUAUACUGCAAGCGG